rnacentral:rRNA from 1 species
UACAGAGGGUGCAAGCGUUGCUCGGAAUCAUUGGGCGUAAAGGGCAGGUAGGUGGUCUCGUUUGUCUGGGGUGAAAGCCUUGAGCUUAACUCAAGAAGUGCCCCGGAAACGGCGAGACUGGAGUCUUGGAGAGGGUCGUGGAAUUCCCAGUGUAGAGGUGAAAUUCGUAGAUAUUGGGAAGAACACCGGUGGCGAAGGCGGCGACCUGGUCCUUGACUGACGCUGAGGCGCGAAAGCGUGGGGAGCAAACAGG